AUGGCUCAGGAUGAACGCUAGCGACAGGCCUAACACAUGCAAGUCGAGGGGCAGCGCGGGAGAAGCUUGCUUUCCUGGCGGCGACCGGCGCACGGGUGCGUAACAGGUGUGCAAUCUGUCCAUAGUCGGGGGAUAGCCCAGCGAAAGCUGAAUUAAUACUCCAUGUGAAUCGAAGCCGCAUGACUUUGAUUUGAAACGCAAGGACUAUGGGUGAGCACGCUUCUGAUUAGAUAGUUGGUGGGGUAACGGCUCACCAAGUCGACGAUCAGUAGGGGUUCUGAGAGGAAGGUCCCCCACAUUGGAACUGAGACACGGUCCAAACUCCUACGGGAGGCAGCAGUGAGGAAUAUUGGUCAAUGGGCGAGAGCCUGAACCAGCCAAGUCGCGUGAAAGGAUGAAGGUUCUAUGGAUUGUAAACUUCUUUUGUCCGAGGGUAAAAAAGGCCACGUGUGGCUUCUUGCAAGUAUCGGACGAAUAAGCAUCGGCUAACUCCGUGCCAGCCGCAGC
rnacentral:rRNA from 1 species